CCCCCCCCCCGUGCCGGGGGAGGCGCCGCUGGAGGCCGAGGCGCUGGGGGGGGCCGGGGGGGGCCCCUUCGACCCGCGGCGGCUCCGGUUCUCGCAGGACGAGCUGCGGCCGCAGCCCAUCGGCAGGAAGGCGCGGAAGGUCCAUGUGCCCGAGGAGCAGAAGGACGAGCGCUACUGGAGCCGGCGCAGCCGCAAUAACGCGGCGGCGAAGCGCUCGCGGGACGCGCGGCGGCUCAAGGAGAACCAGCUCUCGGUGCGCGCCGCCUUCCUGGAGCGCGAGAACGCGGCGCUGCGCCACGACGUGGCGGCGGCGCGCAGGGAGCUCGCCCGCUUCCGCGCCCUCCUGGCGCGCUACGAGGCGCGGCACGGGCCCAUCUGAGAGCCGGGAUCCCGCGACGGCCGGAGCCGGGCACUGAGCUGGGAGAAGAUGCUGGGAACCGGGAUCCAGCUCCGGGAACCGGGAUCAGCCGGGAAAUGGGGCUGGAGCCUGGCACCGGGACCCAGCAAUGAGACACAGCCCCGGGACCCAGCCCCGGGAUCCGGCCCCAGGAUCCGGCCCCGGGAUCCUUCCCUGGAUCCCAUCUCCAGCCCUGAUCCAGAACCGGGAUCAGGAUCCAGCCAGACCCCCCUCCAUGGGGGGGGGGAUCCCCAAAACCGGACUGUUCCCCCCCACACACCAGGCAUGGACCCCCCCAUAGGGGACCAUCCACACCCCCUAUAGGGCCUCCCCCCAUUGGGGGGUGUUGUCCCCCCCCAUAUUUAUUCCCCAGCCCCAUGGCUGGUUCUAAGCACAAGGGGGGGGCCCCAAGCGCCGGGUGCCCCCCCCACCCCCUGCACCCCCCAGACCCCCCCAUAGGACCCCCCUCAAGUCCUCUCAGGAUGGUGGGGACCCCCGCCAGCCCUCCCCCCCAUUCCCCCCAGUGACCCAUUUCCAGUGCAGGCCAGUAGCGUCACUGGGGGGGACACACAUUGGGGGGGGGAUCCCCCUUGACUCCAGCCCCUCCCCCCCCAAACACCCAUGGGGGGGGUCCAGCCCCUCUCCCCCCGCACUUUGACCACUUUAUUCCCCACCCCCCCCCCGCAUGUGGGAUUUGGGGGUCGCGACCCCCCCCCCGAGGGGGGUGAUGGGGGGGGGGCUUUUGUAUAGAAUAAACUUGUGACCCUGGA